rnacentral:misc_RNA from 1 species
AACCUUAUGGACCUGCGGGCGUAUACCUGCGGAAGGAUCAUUACAGAGUUGCAAAACUCCCUAAACCAUUGUGAACGUUACCUAAACCGUUGCUUCGGCGGGCGGCCCGGGUCCUUCCCGGCGCCCAUCGGCCCUCGCGGGCGCCCGCCGGAGGUAAACCAAACUAUUGCAUUGUAUGGCCUCUCUGAGUCUUCUGUACUGAAUAAGUCAAAACUUUUAACAAUGGAUCUCAGAUCGGAA